CAUAGCGACUAUCGUGGCAUAUCAAUAAGCGGAGGAAAAGAAACUAACAAGGAUUCCCUUAGUAACGGCGAGUCGAAGCGGGAAGAGCUCAAAUUUGAAAUCUUCAAGGUUCUACCUUGACGAAUUGUAGUUUAUAGAAGUGUUUUCUGUUAGUGGAGUGGCAAAAGUUCUUUGGAAUAGGACAUCAUAGAGGGUGAGAAUCCCGUAUUUGGUCAUUCCUCCUAGCGUUGUGAUACACUUUCAACGAGUCGGAUUGUUUGGGAAUGCAGUCCAAAAUGGGUGGUAAAUUUCAUCUAAAGCUAAAUAUUGGCGAGAGACCGAUAGCGAACAAGUACCGUGAGGGAAAGAUGAAAAGAACUUUGAAAAGAGAGUUAAACAGUACGUGAAAUUGUCAAAAGGGAAGCGUUUGACACCAGUGUUGUUUUCUCGAAAAUCAAUUAAAAGAUGUUUGGAUUUUGUAUAGUUAAUGACCUUCAUCAGCUUACUGUACUUUUUCUUACUACUUUCUUAAUGCACUUUUCGUUAACAAGUCAACAUCAGUUUCUUUUGUUGUAAAAGGGUCAUGAGGAAGGUGGCUUUCUUUUCGGAGAAAGUGUUUAUAGCCUUGUAGCCUCUACAAUCGGAGAGAUUGAGGUCUGCAGCGUAGAUCCUUCGGGGUUAGAUACAGUUUGUGCUAAGUUAUAGCUUUUCAUAGACAACUUGUUGACUAUGUUUAGUCUUGUAGCUUACUCGCUGAUGCUAUUUUACCUACGCUUAGGAUGUUGAUAUGCAUGACUGAUAU
rnacentral:rRNA from 1 species